UAGGUCACAACUUUGCUUCUGAUAGAGUCUGACACUUUGAUCGGAUCACAGCACCUGCACACCCCACUUGUGACUCAAACAAGAUGCCCCAUCUGAGGUGCCUCUGGAAUGCCUUCCUCUCACCUCUCCCUGCUACUCAGAGAACCCAGCUUUCACUCCCUGGUAUGGCUGCCUGACCAGGUAAACAGGAGUGUCCAAAGCCUCUGAGAAGAGACAUUAGAGAGAUGAAGCAGGCACCCUUUUCUCUGUCCUGUUAAACACAAGGACAAUGGCUGAACUUUGGCAGUUAUUUUGAACCAA